GCCAGUUGUUGCUUUUUCUUAAGUGUGUUGGCUCAAAGUGUGAGAUGACUUUUAAAAACGAAGUACAGAACUUGCUUCCUAAAAGCUUAUCUUGGUAGCUGAUGCACUAGUGAACGUUCCUACUAUGAUUAUUAUUCCAGACAACUUUGCACCAUGCGGACAGGUCAAAUGAGACCAGAAGUAUUAUGAACCAAUGCUAAUCAGGACUGUUUCCUGCACUCUGAGACCAAAGGGGCCAUUCUCACAAAGAAAGAGCUCCUGCCAUGUUACAUGCCUGCUCUCCAUCUGCCUUCCAACAUGAUUGGAAGCUUUCCGAUGCCCUCACCAGAAGCAAAUGCUGGUGCCGUGCUUUCUGUACUGCCUGCAGAACUCAGGCUUUCGGCAUUUGGCAUCCACAGGAAACUCCAGCUUGACUUAAGGAGUGAGGUAAGUCUUAUUUUCAGCAAGGAAAUAUUCACCAUUGCUAAAUUAGUUUGGAUUUGCUUUAGAUUUAAACAUGGGUUUAUUUUAAAAGACACUGAGGCCAAAGGAAAAACAAACAGCCCUGCAUGUGUUGGGGAAGCACUGUCUUAUUGACAGAGAAGCUGGCUAGCUGAAAUCAAAUGUUUUUCAGAACAAAGAUAUUAUGGUCUUAAGAUUUCACUUGAAUUUAAAUUCUAGAAUAUUCUAACAAUAAUGAGCAUUUAAUAUGUGCUAGAUUUUUAAAAAUUUUACUUUAAAUUCUGGGAUACAUGUGCAAAACAUGCAGUUUGUUACAUAGGUAUACAUGUGCAGUUUCUGUGGCAUUCCUAGCAAACCUAAGAAGGAGGAUUUUAAAUAUCUCCAUUUUAUUUAUGAGAAAACCAAGGCCAAAAGAGAUGAGGUGAUCUACCUAAGAUCACGUAGCUUAUUAAGAGGAGGGAUUUGAACCCAAACUUAGUCUGGAUUCUGUGUUUGGGCUUACAACCAUUAUUCACUAAAUGACCCAUGAUAUCUGAAAAGAAUCCAUAGGGAAAGAAGAAGCAAGAAUGAGACUAAGCCCAAGUGUAAUGCUUUCCCAGGACUGAGCCAGCAAAAUGUAAUAAUUUUCCAUCUUAAUUCCUUUGACUUACAACUGGGAACCAGUAUUCUGGGUCCAAGACAGACAACCUCAAACCUUGGAUGACUCAUGGAUACUUUUAGCUCAUCUAGGUAAAUUGCCUUAACAACAACAACAACAACAACAACAAGCAACAACAAUAAUAAAUUAGUGAGUAGUAAUGGGAAAGAAAACUAAAUGAAAUAAUUUGAUUCAGAUACAUAGAAAAUUAAGGAAGAAAACAAUUCUGUUUCACCUGAUAGGUCCUAAUUUAAUCUAGUAUCAAGGUCUGGUAUCAAUCAUUUCUCUCUCAAAAGCAAAAAUAAUAAGACUUUUUUUUGUUACAUGAGUCAUUUUGUGAAACUAAUUAACUUCCUGUGGAACACAAUGCUCUCCCAUUAUUUUUUGGCCGAACUAUCAGGUGGUUAACUCCUUUAUUUAUUUCUUCUUUUUAAAAAAUUGUCUACCAAACUAAAGUUGAGAAAGAGGAGAGGGAGGGUCAGAGGGUGUCACAAUUGUUACCCUUCUCAACAUUCAUAUUAUUACUUGGUUACCAAAGACCUCAGCUUGAAAUGAAGGAAUAUUAGCUCAAGUUAUGGACUCUUUGCUGCUUUCAAAUUGUUUUUAACUAUGCAAUUGUCAAACUUUCUUAGGAGUUUCUGGAGUUCUUCAUUUAGUGCUGAGAAAAUAAAUAACUUUAAUUGAUAUAUCAAUUUAAAUUUAUGAGGAGUUUCAUAUAUAUUAUUCAGUUUGAUUCUUGUAACAAUUCAUGACCUAACUCAUGUGGGUACUAUACUUCUUAUUUUUCAAAUGCAGAAACUAAUACCCAGGGAAACGCAUGUGGAAAAACUUUUAUUUAGUAAAUGACAAAAUUCAGAUUUGAAUCCCAGCUUUAAAACAAUAAAAUUUUAGUUCUUUUUAGUUUUUGUACUAUAAUGUAAUACCAGAUUAUAUAAAAUAACCUUAUUAUAGUUUUUCUUGUAAUCACCAUUGAAAACAGUUUACGUAUGUAUUUUAAAGGAAAACACAAUCCAUUUUUUCCCAAGCAAGUUAUUAAUAUUUGAGGAAUGUGGAAACUCAAAUAAAAGUUCUGUUUUAAAUUUUGGAAAGUAAUUUCAAUACAAAGUCUUUAAAUUACAAAAAAAACUUUGAAAAUCAUUGAUAAACUAUUUUGAAAGUGUUAUAUUUGUAAUUUGUUGACAAGUGCUAAUUUUCCAUUUCAAAGAUAUGAUUAAAAACAAAAUGAAGUUCAGUUUCCAGUUCUGCAUGCUUGGAAGUUGCCACUCUGUCCAAACAAUAGGUAAAAAUAAGUAAAAAGCUAAAUAAACUAAAAAAUAAAUAAAUAGAAACAACUUAGAUACUUCACAGAAGCAAAGUCACAGGGUAAAUCUGCUAUCUCCCAAACUGGAAAUACGGGCAGAUAGAGAGACUCUCCAUAUACCAGAGAACAAAUCUCCCCAGGAAUCAUUGCUGAAGUAGAAAAACCUGAGCUAUAAUUGACAAAUUCCUGGAGGCUAACUGUGGACAAGUCUGAGAGUUAAAAACUUCAGGCGGACCUAGUCAUAGGAGGGUACUGACAUGUUUGUGAGUUUUAUCACCAGGUUCUCACAGAAAACAUCAGAAAGAAAUACUUCCAUGCUUCCAGCAAGGGAGAAGGGAAAGGAUCCAUUCUGAAUUAAGCGCACCCUGUUCUUAAUAAGGUCUGUCCUCAAAAGAAACCAGUUAACCACAGAGCCUAAUUUCCUAGGGAAAACCCAGCUGACUUGGGAGAAGAAAAAUACCCAACUGAAGCCUACUUUAGCCAUUUUGUUCCACUUAAGGUUUGGGGAAAGGAUGGAGAAGCAUGUGUAAAGUUCACAGUCCAGAGAGACAAACUCACUAAAAGACUGAAACCUACUUGUAGAACUAUAUAAUCCUUCCCUUCCCACACACCUCACCACCACAUUACUAAAGACCUAUUUACAGCAGUCGCUUUGAUCCAAUACAUUAGGUUUGACUAUCAAGAAAAAAUUCAAGGCAAACUAAAAGGCAAAAAACAUUAUGAAAAGACAGUGAAAGCAUCAGAACCAGACAUGGCAGGGAAUUUAGGAUUAUCAGGAAAUUUUAAAACAUUAUUAAUAUGGUAAGAGCACUAACGGGUAAAGGAGACUACAUGCAAGAACAGAUGGGCAAUGUAAGCAGAGAAAUUGCAAUUCUGAGAAAGUACCAAAAGAAAAUGCUGGACACAAGAAAACACUAACAAAAAUAAAGAAUGCCUUUGAUGAGCUUUUUAGUAGACUAGACAUGGCGGAGAAAAAGGUCUCUGAACUUGAGACUAUAUUAAUAGAAACUUUCAAAUCUGGAAAGCAAAGAGGACAAAGAUUGGGCGGGGUGGAGAGGUGGGGACAGAGGGAGAAUAAAAUAUCCACAAACUGUGGAACAACUACAAAAAGUAUAACUUACAUGUAGUGGAAAUACUAGAAGAAAAAGGAAAACAACAGAAUAUUUGAGACAAUAAUAACUGAGAAUUUUUCCGGAUUAAUAUCAGACACCAAACCACAGAUUCAGGAUGUACACAGAACACCAAGGAAGAUAAAUGACAAAAACAAACAAACAACAACAAAAAACUACACUUAAGCAUGCCAUUUUCAAACUACAGAAAAUCAAAGAUUUUUUUUCUAAAUCCUGAAAGAAGCCAGAGGGGGAUAAAACAGCUAAUUUUAUUGCUUUUAGUUUGUGUGUGUGUGUGUGUGUGUAGAUAUAUAGUAGGUGUAUAUAUUUAUGGGGUACAUGAAAUAUCUUGAUACAGGCAUACAAUGUGCAAUAAUCACAUCAGGGUAAAUGGGGUAUUCAUUACCUGAAGCAUUUAUCCCUUCUUUACGUUACAAACAAUCCAAUUAUACUCUUUUAGUUAUUUUUAAAUGUAAAAUAAAUUAUUGUUGACGGGAGUCACUCUGUUGUGCUAUAAAAUACUAGAUGUUAUUAAUUCUACCUAAUUGUAUUUUUGUGCACAUUAACCAUUGUCUCUUCCCCUAGUCACUAUACUUUCUAGCAUCUGGUAACCAUUGUUCUAUUCUCUAUCUCCAUGAGUUCAAUCGUUUUAAUUUUAUUUCUCACAAAUAAGUGAGAACAUGAAAAGUUUGUCUUUCUGUGCCUGGCUUAUUUUGCUUAAAGUAAUGGCCUCCAGUUCCAUCCAUGUUGCAAACGACAAGACCUCAUUCAUUAUUAUGGCUGAAUAGUACUCAACUGUGAAUAUGCUCCACAUUUUAUUUACCUGUUUGUCUGUUGAUGAACAUGUACAUUGCUUCCAAAGCUUAGCCAUUGUGAAUAAUGCUGCAAUAAACGUGAGUGUGCAGAUA